rnacentral:rRNA from 1 species
GUAACAAGGUUUCCGUAGGUGAACCUGCGGAAGGAUCAUUAUCUAUUCCAUGAGGUGCGGUCGCGGCCCUCGGCGGGAGCAACAGCUACCGUCGGGCGGUAGAGGUAACACUUUCACGCGCCGCAUGUCUGAAUCCUUUUUUUACGAGCACCUUUCGUUCUCCUUCGGUGGGGCAACCUGCCGUUGGAACCUAUCAAAACCUUUUUUUGCAUCUAGCAUUACCUGUUCUGAUACAAACAAUCGUUACAACUUUCAACAAUGGAUCUCUUGGCUCUGGCAUCGAUGAAGAACGCAGCGAAAUGCGAUAAGUAGUGUGAAUUGCAGAAUUCAGUGAAUCAUCGAAUCUUUGAACGCACAUUGCGCCCCUUGGUAUUCCAUGGGGCAUGCCUGUUCGAGCGUCAUCUACACCCUCAAGCUCUGCUUGGUGUUGGGCGUCUGUCCCGCCUCUGCGCGCGGACUCGCCCCAAAUUCAUUGGCAGCGGUCCUUGCCUCCUCUCGCGCAGCACAUUGCGCUUCUCGAGGUGCGCGGCCCGCGUCCACGAAGCAACAUUACCGUCUUUGACCUCGGAUCAGGUAGGGAUACCCGCUGAACUUAA